CCUACGGGGUGCAGCAGUGGGGAAUAUUGGACAAUGGGCGCAAGCCUGAUCCAGCCACGCCGCGUGAGUGAAGAAGGCCUUAGGGUUGUAAAGCUCUUUCACCGGUGAGGAUAAUGACGGUAACCGGAGAAGAAGCCCCGGCUAACUUCGUGCCAGCAGCCGCGGUAAUACGAAGGGGGCUAGCGUUGCUCGGAAUGACUGGGCGUAAAGGGCGCGUGGGCGGUUUAUGCAGUCAGAUGUGAAAUCCCCGGGCUUAACCUGGGAACUGCAUUUGAGACGCAUAGACUAGAGGUCGAGAGAGGGUUGUGGAAUUCCCAGUGUAGAGGUGAAAUUCGUAGAUAUUGGGAAGUACACCGGUGGCGAAGGCGGCAACCUGGCUCGAUACUGACGCUGAGGCGCGAAAGCGUGGGGAGCAAACAGGAUUAGAUACCCGGGUAGUC
rnacentral:rRNA from 1 species